CAGUCGCCGCGGUAAUACGUAGGUGGCAAGCGUUGUCCGGAAUUAUUGGGCGUAAAGCGCGCGCAGGUGGUUAAAUAAGUCUGAUGUGAAAGCCCACGGCUCAACCGUGGAGGGUCAUUGGAAACUGUUAAACUUGAGUGCAGGAGAGAAAAGUGGAAUUCCUAGUGUAGCGGUGAAAUGCGUAGAGAUUAGGAGGAACACCAGUGGCGAAGGCGGCUUUUUGGCCUGUAACUGACACUGAGGCGCGAAAGCGUGGGGAGCAAACAGGAUUAGAUACCCGAGUAGUCCCUGUCUCUUAUAC
rnacentral:rRNA from 1 species